UGGAGAGUGUCUACUGCUAGAAGC
rnacentral:piRNA from 1 species